CUAUAUCAGGUUGAAACACCGUUUCUCGUACGGUCAACAAAGUCAAGCAACGUCGAGCCUAGCCAGUACCUAGAUGGGUGACCGUUUAGGAAUACCAGGUGCUGUAAG